UAGAAUAGGAUACGAGUGACAUGUCACUAGGAAUUAUGAGUCUAGAUGACUAACUCGAGAGUGAGCAUUGAAACGUCAUGAGAUAUGAGGUAGCUUUAGCUACAAUUGAGGCACUUAUGUGCAAAGGCUUUUCCGAGUAUCCAAUUAGUAUUCCAAGUGUUCAACGGGUAAUCCAAGGAAAGAGUUGAUGAUGGUCCCAACGAGGUAAGUCAUUGGUGAGUAUACACUUGAGUUAUGUUACGAGUUGUGCAAGUAUGUAUAUUAAGCCUAUGAGAAUGCCUUGAUAUGUGAUGAUCUAUGAUGCAUAAUAUGUGUUCUUACCAUGAUGGAUGAAAUGAUGUUGUAUUAAUUUUGUGAACAAUGAUCAUGAAUGAGUAACUUAGCCUUGACAGAUUUGAGUUACUGUAGUAAUGUAACUUUGAAAAUACACUAAAAAUAGUGGAAAAUUAGUUAGAGGCAGAAUAAAAUAUGAGAUUAAAGCUUAAUGAGUCUAUUUUCACAUGAAAGAAACAGAGGAAGAAAAAGAAUUCUAUAUUGUGUGAUAUUUGAAUUCUUGUAAAACAGGGUCUGAAUGAAUUCGAGAUCCCCUGUUCUAACUUUAGAAAUUCAUCAUAAAUUGUAAAAAAAUUAUUAAGAGUCAUACCUUACUUGCAUGGAUUCCUUAUUGAGUCUAUUUUUAAGGGAAAAAAUGGCAUCGUCGUUGGAAUUUUGUACAGGGAGAAAUUCGGUUUGUAGUGCACAAGGGUCAGAGUGGUCAUACCCUGAAACAAGAGAGACUUUAACUAAUAAACUGUACUAAAUGGCUUGACCAAAAAUUCUAGAAAAAAAUUAGUAAGUAUACAUAUGAGUAUAGUUUCAUGAUAAAUAGACGAGAACAUUAUUCGAAUCCUGUACUAUGAGAUAAUUGAACUUUAGUGCAGAAGGGUUGAAACUGUCAGACAGUGAAUCAGGAGCAAACUUGAGGAAUAAACUGUACUAAUUGGCUAAGUCAAAAAUUCUGGAAAUUUUAUGAAAGAAAGAUAAAUGAGUCUAGUUUCAUGGAAAAUUAACGGAACUUAAUUUGGAGUUUCGUAGCUCCAGAUAUAAAUAAUUUAGUGACUAUUGCUCAGGUAGACAGCUUGCAGUGAACUUGAGAAUAUGUUGUAAACAUUGAUAAAACAAGUUAAUGAGUUGCUUAUUGUUUUCAUAUGAACUUACUAAGCGAAAGCUUACCCCCCUUUCUUUCCCAUGUUUUCUAGAGUUUCCAGGUUAGCUCGGGUUGAAGGCCGUUAGAGAUAUUAUCACACUGUCGAGUUAACGCUAUCGGCGUAAGUAAACUCAAGUGAUUCUAGUCUAUGGCAUGUAUAGGGUUUUAAUGGGAGUAUGUAAUAUUAUGAUUUAGCCAAAGGCAUUGGCUUGUUAUUAAGGUGGUAUUAGUCAUGUAAAUUGGCCUAUGUCGGCUAAUAUCGUUAUGGGCCCAUAUGAUUAUUCUUAUGCAUGUAUGUUAUUAUCUCUUGUGAUGUGGCUUACAACAUGUAUGCCUAGAGAUUGAAUUGAGAUUCAUUGAUGAGCUAAUAACUAAUGCAGGAUUAAGUGAUUGGUAAAUAGUUAAUAAUGCUUCAUGAAUGGUUUGUGGAUAUGAUUAUUUAUGCUUUGUGAUGGACAUGAGGUUUGAUGACAUGUUGAUAGCUAUAGCAUUAAUAUGGUAAAGAUGAAAGAAAAACUUAUUGUAAUGGUUGCAUGUGAAAUUACCAUGGUCAUGUCAUGUUAGGAAGGUUUAAGUGCCUAAUUUUGCCAUGUUGUAUGCUAUUGUAUAAGUAUGCGUGCAUGUGUUGUGAGUGUGACAAAAUGGCUUGGAAAAUAGCCUUGUAUUUGUCCAGGUUUUGGACAUGGGUUCGGGACACGGGCGUGUUCUUAGCACCCGAGCGUGUGUUCUAUACCUACACGGGCGUGUGGAGCCUUGAUACAAGAGAUUUCCUAAGUUUUUCAUGAGUUCUCGGUUGGGUCCCGAACCAUCCCGAAUGCAUGUAUUGGGCCUCGUAAGCUCGCAUAAAGGACAGAUUGCAUGAGAAAAGAAAAGUUUUUAAUUAUUUGAGAUUUCAUGGCCCUGUUUAGUAUGGAAGUGUUAGUAAAAGUCAGGUAGCACCUCGAACCCCGUCCAGGCGUCGAAUGCGGGCGAGGGGUGUUACAUUUAGUGGUAUCAGAGCAUGGUUUAGUCGAUUCUUGGACUAAUCUAACGUAAGAGAGUCUAGCUAUACAUGCCAUAGUAUUACUCGUGAUAGUGUGAUAUCUCUCGGCCCUAACAAAACUGCUGGUUAAGACAGGAAUGAAUUCGAACCGAGCAAAUCUUGAUAAAGAUAAGAGUAAAGUUGAGAUUAUUGAAUCAUGCUUGUGACAUGCUGAAAAUGGGAAAGGUAUGAAAAGAUAUUCAUGAUUUUCAUAUGAACUAGUAUUCACUAUGUGAUACUCUUGAGUUAAAGAAUGUGAAAUAGUGGAGUAAAACACAGUUAAGUUGUGAAAAACAUUUUUAUGCAUGUUAGUAUUCAUACGAUGUUAAAUGUCCAACUUGAUUUGGCCAAGUGUUUAUGAAAAGAAAGAAAUUUGCUUGAAGUGACAGAGUGUAUGUAUGAAUGCUUUAAUUGCAUGAUUAGUAAUCAGUAUAUACAUGAGGUUGACAUUUUUGUCUAGAUUAAUAAAGUCAAGAUGCCGAAAUGUUAUGCCUUAUAAUCUUACUUAUAGAAUCAUAAAUGUCACAAUAGCAUGAAAGUUGUAAUGAAAGAUCAAAUUGGGUGGAACGCAGGGAAUGUGUACGAUCGUUCACUAAUGAAUUGACGGAAAAGACUAUGGUUGGACCGUGGCAAUACAUGAGAUUUGUGUGCCAGUGUAAGACCAUGUCUGGGACAUGGCAUCGGCAUUGAGAAGAGGGCUAGUGUAAGACAUGUCUAGGACAUGCAUCAGCCACAGUAUGAGAGCCAGUGUAAGACAUGUCUGAGACAUGCAUCGGCCUCGAGAUGUUAGCCAGUGUCAGACAUGUCUGGGACAUGCGUCGGCUACGAGAUGUGCUAGUGUAAGACAUGUCUGGGACAUGCGUCAGCACGGUUACAUGUGUCAGUAUAAGACCUAUCUGGGACACAGCAUCGACACAGAUGGAUGAGAGCUAGUACAAGACCAUAGUUGAACUAUGGCAUCAAGUAAACGAUGUACUCAAAAUUGUAAGACGUUCUCCAAUUUGAUAAAUAUUGGCAAGUGAUUAAGACUAAAUAUGAGAAUUUGAUAAAACAUUAAGGGUAAUUUGAGAAAAAGAAAUGAAAGUUUGAGUUAUGAUAAAUUCACUUAUGUUUAGCUAAUAUUCGCAUGAAAUAAAGUUACAUGUAUUACUGAGAUAUGUGAAAAUGUAUUUAAAACAAGUUGGAAAUUUGAAAUGUUUGAAUCAAUAUGCGUAAAGCUAUGUUGUUGUUGAAUAUGUAUUUGCUUGAGAGUCAAAAGUUUAGAGGAUUUACAAUCUUCGCCCCCUUACCAGAAUAGAGUUAUACGAUGAGAUUCUCGAGAGAUAUGUUGCAUAAGCUUGCAAAAGUGAAACUGAAGAGUACAAAAAUGGAAUAGUAUGAGAUUAGCAAAGAUAGAAUUAGUUAGAGGAAUAAUGUCGGACUUGCACAGAUGUCUGAGUAUGACGAAUUCAAUUAAACAAAAGUGAUGGCUAUCUUUCUCUUCUGAGUAUUCUAUGUUUUCCUCUAUUCUGGGGAAUACGUAUGGUUAUCCCUUUCGACUGAGAAUUCUAUUGUGUGAGGAUGCUAGUGACUAUGAUAUUAGAUGAAAAGUUCUAUUGGUCCAGUUAGUUAUGAUCUACAUUUCCUCAUCUCUUCAGAUUUCUAUUCUGAUAUAUUGGAAUGAAGUUGACAGUAAAAAUCUAUGUAAGAUUAUUCUGAUGUUCUAUUGAUUAUGGUUUAUAUAUGCGAGAAUUAUAUUAUCUCUGUUACGAGAAAUUCUAGAGCGUACAGACAGUAGUUUCUUUCUGGUUUUCUCUGAGGGAUUUUCCGGAUCAUCUUCAUUAUUUUCUUCUGGAUUAUAUUCUCGGAUUUCUGGUAUAGUCUUUAUAUCUUGGAAUUUCUUAUAUUGAUUUUUCUCUCGUUCUUGUUUCGAGAAUUAUCAAGCUUGGUUUAUUUUUACAAGUAAUCUUUGACUUGCGAUAUUAGAAUCUGUUAUGAUUAAGCUUCUGGCUCGACCAUAAAAGUGUGGGGAUUUCAGUAUCGAGAUUUCUUUAAAAUCUUGGGGAAAUGAAUGGUUAUUCUGCAAAAGUAAAUCUGAGUUAUGUGCAUUUAAGUUUAUUCUCUGGUUCGAGAAUACCAUUACAUGUUCUUUGGUAAGUAGUCGUACAGUCAGAAAUGAUGGGGUUUUAUUCUUGAAAGUAUGUUAUGGAAACAUAUUAGUUGGAUUUUUCUUGUCCGAGAGAUGUUAUAAGUAUAGUUAUCCUGAUUAGUAAAGAGACCACAUCUAUGAAGUUGGAAUCAUUUGAUUCAUGUUAGUGAAGUUUCUAAACAGUUGAUGAUAAGAGUAUAGAAAUGUGGCUAUAAGUGGUAAAUUAAACAAGUACAGCAUGAUUCGACUUUUAAUUUGGAAUUGCAAGGAAGAUUUGAUUUCUGGUUUCUGUUACUAUUAUUUCAGAGUAAGAUUAGGGUACUGAGAAACUCCAGGCUAUGCAGAGAAGUGUGUACAGAGUUCACAGCAGUCUUUUGUUUAUUCUUCCAAAGGAUGUUAAAUUGACUACCGGGGAAAGCCGAUUAUCAGAUAUAUUCAAGAUUAUAAUUGUCAAUGCUGACAUUGAAAGAGAAAAUUGAGAAAUGAUUAGUAUGAAUUUUGUAUCGGGAUGUCUCUCUUCUCCGGGAAAUAAGAGAUACCAUAAUGGAUUGUGAUAGAUUGAUGAUAGUAGUCCGUAUGACUAUUUUGGUAUAUACAGAGCUAUUGUUAUACGGAUUGGGACGAGUUGUGUUUCUAAGCUUAUAGUUCUUAGAAUGUCAGUUUUCAGUAUUUCGAAUUGAGCCGAGAAUUUUAUGGUAAUUGUGGAAAGGUUACAGAAAUCCUGAGUAUCAGCUUCAGCUCAGUUGUUUUGUAAGUUUUGAGAAAAAGAUAUAAGUGACUCGUGAAAGUAGAGAGCAACUUUUUUUGGUAAGAUUUUCGGGGACGAAAAUCCCUAAAGGGGGGAAGAAAUGUAACAGCCCGAUUUUGGGCCUAGUCGGAACAGUGGUUUCGGGACCACUAUUUCGAGGCUAGAUAAAAUUAUUUUAGUAUUAUUUUAUGUGUUAUAAUAUAAUUUUAUAAGUGCAUGUAAAUUUUGGUAAGUUAAUUUUAGCAAUUUCUAGUCCAAUUCCGAAAAAGGACUAAAUCGCGUAAAAGGUAAAAGUUGUGUUUUAAUACCUAAAGGUGUGUUAAAUUGCCUUGUAUCUUAAAUUGGGGGUCUUUAAAGUGAAAUUAGGCCAUUGAAAGUGUGAUGGCCGGCCAUGGGAGACAAAAUUGUUGAAAAGUCAAAAUUAGGUGAAAUUUGGUCACCAAUUUUGACUAGUUUUAUUAUUAACAAAUCAAAAAGAAAAAGCUAUCAUUUUUCUCUUCUCCUUCACCGAAAUAUGCAGCAAAGAAAGGGUUUUGAAGCUGGAAAAUUUCAGCAACAUAUUUCCCUUGCUUGUAAGUGAUUUUAAUGUCUUUGCUUGAUGAUUUUUACAUUUUUGGAACCCCUAAAGCAUGAGCUUUCAUAAGAGGGGACUAUUUUGCAAAAUGAUGAAGAGUCUAGGGUUUUGCCAUGAGAGUAAAUGUGUUGUUUGCUGUGUUUUUAUGGAAGAUUAUGAGUCCUAGUUGUCUAAUAAACAACUUUUGUGAAAGAAAUUACAUGAAAACACCUUAAAAAAGGGCUAGAUUGCUAAGUUGUAAAAUAAGUUGUAAUGUGUAAAAUAGUUAAAAUUAUGAGUUGCUAUAGUUAUGAAAAUGGUUCAUCUAGACUCAAGGAGUAAAGAAAUGUGAUAAAAAUUAUUUACGAGCAUUGAGGCAAAAGUGCAAAUAUGCAAAAGUUUAGGGGUCAAAAUGAAAAUUUGUAAAAAUAUGAUUUUUAUACCCAUAUGAAUAUUGUGACUGAUUGGUAGGCUAAAUGUGAUAUUAUAGAUCAAGAAAAUCGAGAUUUGGACCUAGAACAGAAAGAAAUCGAUUAAGGGAUGAUUAUGUCCUUUUCACCUUUGUGGUAUCGAGGUAAGUUUGUAUGUAAACAAUACCAUGCUAUACAUGUAUUUAAAUGUUAUCAUUACAUGAAUUGUACAGAUGUUAAGUGUAUGUGAUUAAUAGAAAUAUGAUAAGACAAAGCCUUAAUAGACGAGGAAAAAUCCCGUUUGAACCUUAGAAAUAGAAUAGGAUACGAGUGACAUGUCACUAGGAAUUAUGAGUCUAGAUGACUAGCUCGAGAGUGAGCAUUGAAACGUCAUGAGAUAUGAGGUAGCUUUAGCUACAAUUGAGGCACUUAUGUGUAAAGGCUUUUCCGAGUAUCCAAUUAGUAUUCCAAGUGUUCAACGGGUAAUCCAAGGAAAGAGUUGAUGAUGGUCCCAACGAGGUAAGUCAUUGGUGAGUAUACACUUGAGUUAUGUUACGAGUUGUGCAAGUAUGUAUAUUAAGCCUAUGAGAAUGCCUUGAUAUGUGAUGAUCUAUGAUGCAUAAUAUGUGUUCUUACCAUGAUGGAUGAAAUGAUGUUGUAUUAAUUUUGUGAACAAUGA
rnacentral:lncRNA from 1 species